GAUGAACGCUGACAGAAUGCUCAACACAUGCAAGUCAACUUGAAUUUGGGUUUUUAACUUAGGUUUGGGUGGCGGACGGGUGAGUAACGCGUAAAGAACUUGCCUCACAGCUAGGGACAACAUUUGGAAACGAAUGCUAAUACCUAAUAUUAUGAUAAUAGGGCAUCCUAUAAUUAUGAAAGCUAUAAGCGCUGUGAGAGAGCUUUGCGUCCCAUUAGCUAGUUGGAGAGGUAACGGCUCACCAAGGCGAUGAUGGGUAGCCGGCCUGAGAGGGUGAUCGGCCACAAGGGGACUGAGACACGGCCCUUACUCCUACGGGAGGCAGCAGUGGGGAAUAUUGGACAAUGGACCGAGAGUCUGAUCCAGCAAUUCUGUGUGCACGAUGAAGUUUUUCGGAAUGUAAAGUGCUUUCAGUUGGGAAGAAAAAAAUGACGGUACCAACAGAAGAAGUGACGGCUAAAUACGUGCCAGCAGCCGCGGUAAUACGUAUGUCACGAGCGUUAUCCGGAUUUAUUGGGCGUAAAGCGCGUCUAGGUGGUUAUAUAAGUCUGAUGUGAAAAUGCAGGGCUCAACUCUGUAUUGCGUUGGAAACUGUAUAACUAGAGUACUGGAGAGGUAAGCGGAACUACAAGUGUAGAGGUGAAAUUCGUAGAUAUUUGUAGGAAUGCCGAUGGGGGAAGCCAGCUUACUGGACAGAUACUGACGCUGAAGCGCGAAAGCGUGGGUAGCAAACAGG
rnacentral:rRNA from 1 species